AGCAAACAGCAGUCCUCAUGACUUACGGUUAAAGUGCAGUAGUGUCCUCUGCUCUCAUGGUUUCUGACACGGGUGAUAUCUAUGCUGGAUUGCUGGCAGUUUAAAGGCUGCCAUUAAUCACAAACAGAUAUGAUGAGCAAAGCCCAUCAGCAGAAGCUGUGCUUUACCCAAAUACAACUCCUGGUUCCUGGGGAUUUCCUGCAUCUUUAAGGAGUUUCAUGGUUUCUCUCAAGACCAGAGCGUGAACUGGUUGCAAAGACCCUAAACAGGCUCUUCCCGUGUAUGGAGAAGGCUCCAGCCUAUGCCUGGGAAUGACUCCUAAUGAACUGCUGAAAGUUAUUCUUAAAGGCAUCAUAAGAUAAUGGUGCUUUGCAGCUUGUCCCUGUGAGGAGAUCUGAAGCUGCAGAGCCCUUUGCUUGAGAUAUUUCCCUGGCUUCAGGACAGAGACCAGGCAGAAAGGCCGUUCCUGAGAACAGAGGAGCAGAGCCACGGCUGGGGCUGGAAUUGUGCCUGGUCAGGAAGCGCCUGGCCGCAGGGCAGAGCUGGGCUGGCAGAUGAGCACAGCCUUAGAUGGCAAGCAGCUCUGCACAGCCAGGCCCUUUUCAUCUCUCUGAAGUGCCUUAUAUAGUGCACCCAGAACAACUUAUAAAUAAAUGCUUUUUGUCAUGAUUC
rnacentral:lncRNA from 7 species